UACGUAGGUGCGAGCGUUGUCCGGAAUUACUGGGUGUAAAGGGAGCGUAGGCGGGUCGGCAAGUCAGUGGUGAAAUACAUGGGCUUAACCCAUGAAUUGCCAUUGAAACUGCCGGUCUUGAGUGGAUCAGAGGCAAGCGGAAUUCCGAGUGUAGCGGUGAAAUGCGUAGAUAUUCGGAGGAACACCAGUGGCGAAGGCGGCUUGCUGGGGUCUAACUGACGCUGAGGCUCGAAAGUGUGGGGAGCAAACAGGAUUAGAUACCCCCGUAGU
rnacentral:rRNA from 1 species